ACCUACGGGGGGCAGCAGUGGGGAAUAUUGCACAAUGGGGGAAACCCUGAUGCAGCGACGCCGCGUGGGCGAGGAAGUACCUCGGUAUGUAAAGCCCUAUCAGCAGGGAAGAAACAGGACAGUACCUGACUAAGAAGCCCCGGCUAACUACGUGCCAGCAGCCGCGGUAAUACGUAGGGAGCAAGCGUUAUCCGGAUUUAUUGGGUGUAAAGGGUGCGUAGACGGGAAAACAAGUUGGUUGUGAAAUCCCUCGGCUUAACUGAGGAACUGCAACCAAAACUAUUUUUCUUGAGUGCUG
rnacentral:rRNA from 1 species